AGAGUUUGAUCAUGGCUCAGAUUGAACGCUGGCGGCAUGCCUUACACAUGCAAGUCGAACGGCAGCGCGGGAGCAAUCCUGGCGGCGAGUGGCGAACGGGUGAGUAAUAUAUCGGAACGUGCCUUAGAGUGGGGGAUAACUAGUCGAAAGACUAGCUAAUACCGCAUACGACCUACGGGUGAAAGUGGGGGAUCGCAAGACCUCAUGCUCUUAGAGCGGCCGAUAUCUGAUUAGCUAGUUGGUGGGGUAAAAGCCUACCAAGGCGACGAUCAGUAGCUGGUCUGAGAGGACGACCAGCCACACUGGGACUGAGACACGGCCCAGACUCCUACGGGA
rnacentral:rRNA from 1 species